rnacentral:rRNA from 1 species
CCUACGGGUGGCAGCAGUGAGGAAUAUUGGUCAAUGGACGCAAGUCUGAACCAGCCAUGCCGCGUGCAGGAAGACGGCUCUGUGUGUUGUAAACUGCUUUUGUCCGAGGGCAAACGCAGAUACGCGUAUCUGUCUGAGAGUAUCGUACGAAUAAGGAUCGGCUAACUCCGUGCCAGCAGCCGCGGUAAUACGGAGGAUUCAAGCGUUAUCCGGAUUUAUUGGGUUUAAAGGGUGCGUAGGCGGUCGGAUAAGUUAGAGGUGAAAUCCCGGGGCUCAACCUCGGAAUUGCCUCUGAUACUGUUCGGCUAGAGAGUAGUUGCGGUAGGCGGAAGGUAUGGUGUAGCGGUGAA